GCACCUGUAGCUUAACGGUAGAGCAGACGACCGAUAAUCGUCCGAUGCUGGUUCAAUUCCAGACUGGUGCACCA
rnacentral:tRNA from 1 species